AAAGAGGCCACUGCCAUUAGGGAAAACAUCAUCAGACCAGGUCACCUUCUUACAUUGCCCCAUGCUCCGGUUCAGAUGCUCAAUGCGCACUGUAGGUGCUGGAUAGGGGUCAGCAUGUGCACUCUGACUGGUCUGCAGCAAAGCAGCCCCAUACACAUCAAUCUACGAUGCACUGUGUUUUCUGACACUUUUCUAUCAUUGCCAGCAUUAACUUUUUCUGCAAUUUGCAAUUUAGCUCUUCUGUGGGAUCGGACCAGACGGGCUAGCCUUAGCUCCCCACACAGAUCACUCAGCAUUGGGCACCCAUGACCAUGGACCACUUUUAGUAGGUACUAACCACUACAUACUGGGAACACCCCACAAGACCUGCCAUUUUGGAAAAGCUCUGACCCAGUCGUCCAGCCAUCACAAUUUGGCCCUUAUCGAAGUUGUUCAGAUCCUUAUGUUUCCUGCUUCCAACACAUCAACUUCAAGAACUGUCUCUUCAAUUGCUGCCUAAUAUAUCCCAUCCUGGGAUGUUACGUUAUGGCUGAACGGUGUAUUUGAGCAGUAGGCUUUUUUAUUCCUGAGGUUUCCACCCACAGAACGCAUUUUGAUUAAAACUGACAUUGGAUUCAAGUUGAUUUAUUUAUUAUUAAUAGGCCUAUGUGCUAUUUUGUUAAUGAAGUUUGGAUUGCACCUAUUAAAUUCAGUUUAUCAGUAAAACAGGUUAAUAACAAUAAGAACUUAAUAAUAAAUAUGGUAACUUUUAUAAAGUUGGGCUGUGAUUUUCACCAACAAGUAGAACUCGAUGCCAACAGUAUCAACAGGAAGCUUUCAAUGCCUAGUCUAGUCAAGUCUAGUCCAUCUUGUUAUUCAUUUGUAUGCUGCAAAUACUUUAUAAUGUGGCCAUGUUUGGAUCAAUGCCUAAAUCUAAUCAUUUCAUCUGGUGGUAGCAAAGAUAUGUCCAUAAAAUCCUACGAUUAACCACUUAUUUUUGAGAGAUUAGACUAAGAGAAAUUGCCAACUCAUGGACUGAUGGUUAGAAAAUGAGCCUUGAACCUGAGCCUGAGCAUGUACGUGUAAGCUACAUAUCUGUAUGAAAAACAGGAAUAAAGCUAUCGAAGGAAAACUAUUUCAGACAUUUGACUGGGCUGUAACCCUGUCCCUGCUUGGAUCAAUUCCAAAAUCUAAUUAGUUUAUCUGUUGGUUACAGUGAAACAAUUUCACCACUCGCUCUUUGAGAACCAUGGCCCUAGACAAUUCUGUUUCUCCUCCUCUCUGAUUAAAAUAUACUUCCAUCUAUCCAUCCAUCCACUAAGCCACCGAGCUAUAAAAUGUACAUGUUGAUAGUUACGUUUAAUAGAUGUUUGCAUGGUCAAACUUCAAUCGUCCUUAAUUGUCAACAUUUUACACAAUACAGUAAAGGGAAAGGAACAGAAGAGGAAAUAACUGCUCUGUGUUCAUUGCCAGAGCACAAAGAUACUGCAGAGCUGUAAACAUCUGCAGGCCUCAUUUGAGGUAUUAAUAUGUUAAAGCUUGGUGAAGAGUAUUCUAUGCAUCACGUGGAUCUUGGCCGAAGUGUUUGUGUCUUUGCUGCCUGGUGACACUGCAGGCAUGCAGACUGUGGGUGGUAUUGUGGCAGUGGCCAUCAAUAUGAUAGAAAACCAUGAUAUGAGCACAGCUACAUAACUACAAUACUGGCAUUGCAUGGACUCUACAAGUUUGUGCAAAACCUUAUGAUCCAUUUCAGAUCAAAUCCAUCGGAGUGUCGUCUGAACACACGCUUCAACAGAAGAGAUUAGACAUGAGGAAAAUCUGAUCUUUUGUACAAAGCAGUUAACACGGUCAACAUCACACAUACAUUUAAAUAUCGACCUAAAAAAAGUGCAGAAUCUUCAAUAUUAAAUAUUCAACAUAUUGAACAUUUAAUUUUGCUGUUUCAAGUAUUUCAAAAUCCUAAAACUUACAGUCAUGGCCAAAAGUUUGCGAUCCCUAUACGAUAUAUUACAUAUGUAUAGUGAUCGUAAACUUUUGGCCAUGACCGUAGUUUAAUUCCAUUUUUAAAUGAAAAAAAAAAAGACUUUCAACGUGGCGUCAGACUUUUGGACCCCGCUGUAGACAUGGUAAUCUUACCCUGAAGUGGCAUCAGGUUUCUUAUAUUUAUGGGUUUACUAAGGGAAAAACCCUGACUAGCAAUUGGUAUAAAUUUCUAUCUGGGAAUGAACAGCAGCUUUCCCAGUAUAAAUCAUAUUCAGACACCUCAUAAAGCACAGCGAGUCGAUAGCUACUACAUGUUUUACUACAUACUGUAUGUACAAGUAUUUUAACUUAAUAUACUAAUUAAUAAAAUGGAAAACUAAAACUUCAUAACAGCGCUACCAUAGUACUGUUAGCAUAUAUGCUUUCUAUAUCUUUCUCUUCUUUCCAUUUUAUCUUGCUUCCUUGGUUAAGCUAAUGGUUUGCCGAGCUUCACCACACACUGCCACUAUCAAAAUGGACCUCCUUCACAUAUCGAAUAUAUAUAUAUAUAUAUACACACACAAACACACACACAGUAUGUACCAAAAAGCAGGAUAAACAUAGAUUAUUUACAUGCACAUAAAUAACCUUCAUGUAAAAAUGUACAGAUAUCAAGUGUCCUCGUGUGUCAGGGCUUCGGUUCUGACCUCUCCGAUGGGCUCACUGCGCUCACCCAAUAAAUCAGCCUACGUUUAUGUUCUUUUCUUUACGUAAUAAGCAGAAGAGCCAAGCUAUUCCUGGUCAACUCCUGUGAGAUGCCACUCCUUUUUAGUUGUAGAUACUAUACUGUAUGUCCAGACCCAUAGCAGCCACAAGAGCCAUAUGGUACAUUCAGUGUUAACAAUGCAGUGUAAUGUUACAGUAUUCCAGCAGACAGGUCUCAACACGUGGAUUAGUCUAAAUUACGGCCGUGUUCUUUCCAUCCUACACAAUUUUCAGUUAUGCUGAGAGUUCAGCUCUAUAACUACAGGAGUCUUUCUUUCACUAUAAUUUCCGCUAUGUAAGGGGGAAAUACUAUCACAUUACCCAUCAACUACAGAAUACCAUGUGUCACAUAAAAUGAGGUUUAAGAGUAAAUUUGAAAAAAAAAAAAAAAAAAGAGUAGAUAACGUAGCUGAGAAGAGGACAAGAAUAUUUUGAAAUCUUGUCAGUUUCAGCUGGUGCCUUGAUCCCCUGAUAACUUUAUGACAAGGACAGGUCUAAUGUCCCUAGGUUGACAAUAGCAACAUCAUCUUACCAACACUAUUUUAGAAAAGUGUAUCGCAUAAUCAUGUAUCACUAUGUAAGUAUUAUAUCAAUAUAUCGCCAGCCCUAGUGCUGCCUCGAUACAAGAAAAGAUGCAGGAAGAACACCCGAGGUGGUACGGACAUGUGCUACGAAGUAGUGAAGACUCAGUAUCCAAAAUACCGCUAGCACUCUAGAGUCUAAUCCUACAGAGCUAGGAUUGUCAAAAAAGAUGCUCCAACAAGACUCUCCAACAUGAUCAGUAUAGUACAUAUUAUAUGAUUUCGGGUUUGUUCACAGCAUAUAAGUGAGGCCUUAUUGAAAAGGCAAUAACACUAUUUAGGCCUUUCGAAGAACUGACGAGAGAAGUAAGUUCACACACGGCAACUAAUGCAGACGCGAUUCCCUUUUAGUUUCCCUCGCAGUUACGUUUUUUUUUUUUUUUUAAAGCCCACUGAAUAUGUUUACCUUUUGGUUUUUGUAAUCAGACACACAAAAAUUUGAGUCUGACAAAAAUCGGCCAAUAUAUCGGUUAUCAGCUUCCAAAUAUAAAGAAUUAUCGGUUAUCGGUAUCAAAAUUUCCAUAUCAGUGCAUCCCUAUUUUUUGACAUGCAAAAAUGGAAGGAGAACUAAUAACCAUGGUUUCAUCUUAUAACAAGUCUUUUAUUAGUCACAUAUACAUUACAACACAGUGAAAUUCUUCUUUUUGCAUACCCCUGCAUGUUAGGAAGCUGGUGUUAGAGCACAGGAUCAGCCAUGAUACAGUGCCCCUGGAGAACAGAGGGUUAAGAGCCUUGCUCAAAGGCCCAACAGUGGCAGCUGGGCAGUGCUGGGUCUUGAACCCACGGUCAGUAACCCAGAGCCUUAAACAUCAAGCCACCACUGCCUCAUAUCCUGUCAUAUACGACCGCUCGUCAAACACAUAUAGACAUGUUACAAAGAUAAAUAAAGCUUGGAAGGAAGGAGCAGAGAUCAUUGGUGCCUCUGGUGGCAGUGGAAUGAAGUUCGCCAACAUGUCUGAACAGCUGAGUCACUGGCAGUCUUCAAACGAUGUCAAAAGACCUACUUCUUCUGAAAUGAGCUGCUGAGGAUUAGGAUGGCUUGUGGUGUGAAGUUCUCAACAACGGAAACAUCAAAUAUUUUGCGACCUGACUUGAUUUGUCCAUUUCAAAGAUGAGCUCUUGGAGUGUCGCGGUUGUCGUCAUCAUCAACCUCAUCAUCCUUCUCCUCAACGGGACACUCAGGGGGUGCUUCUCAUUUCUUAUUUGUGCAUUCUCAUUUCCUUUCCUCGCUUCCUCUCCAUGCAUCUUAGCUCCACCCCCUUGGGAUGUGAGGGAAGGAUGCAAUGAUGAGAUGAGAAGAGGGAGGAAAUGAAGCAAGUCUAAUAGAAUAUCUUCGCUCUCUCAAGCGUCAUUCAAAGCGACGUCAGCUACUGGUGACUGUGCUCAGCUGGAUGACCUCACUGCGCUUCUGGGAUCUGCCGUUAUGCUUAUUUUUUUUGACGUGCUGUUCCGUUGUUGGAGCUCGGUUAAUAACAACACUCUUAAUAAAGCAAAAUGCACUAAUA